CAGCGUUAAGAAGCAGAAAAAAAAUUCAUUUAAAAUAGUGUGAUAAUUGAAAAAACAACAUAAAAUCAGUUAAAAAAAAAAAAACAACAAGACCAACAAAUUAGUGAAGUGUAAAUGACAAUGACACUCACACAGCGGUCGGUUGGUUGGUUGGUUGGUUGGUUGGAUGCAUGGCUGUCUGGAUGGAUGGAUGAAUGAAUGAACGACAGAGAGAGAUAGAGUGAGAAAGAGACCAUAGCUAAUAAAAGAACAUCUUUAUUAUUUCUGUUUGUGCAACUUUGUUUGAAGGUUGCAACAAAAUCCACGUAAUUAUGUUAUUUUGCGCCAAAUACAAUUCUCAUGCACCAUACGAAGGUAAUGACGUUAAAAAGCAUUCAUACUAAUGUCUAUACAUACAUACAUAUGUAUGUAUGCAUGUAUGUAUUGUUCUUUUACCAGCCGGCCGGCUGACAGCAGUAGUUCGGUCACUAACUUAUAAAUGUGUUCUAGAUCUAGUAUAAAAAAUCUAAAUAAUAAUAAUAAUAGCAGCAAUAACAACAAUAAAAAACACUUUGUUAAUAAUAAAAUGUAACGCUUGAAUGCAAUAAUAUUUUAAUUAUUUCUCUAAUGAAA
rnacentral:lncRNA from 1 species